AAAUUAAAUGGCUGCAGUAACUAUGACUGUAUGAAUGUAGCAUAAUAAUUCGCCACUUAAUUGGUGGAUAGUAUGAAUGGUUGAACGAAAAUUCCUCUGUCUUAUAUAAUAAAAAAAAAAUUUAAAUUAUAGUUAAGAUCCUAUAUAAUUUGUAAGACGAAAAGACCCUAUAAAGCUUAACUAUAUUCUUUUAUAUUAUUUAAACAAAAACAAAAUAAAGAGAAGGUAGUUUCAUUGGGGCGAUGGUCUCUAAAAAAAAACAGAGAUAUUCCAUAUUAAUAAAAUAAUUUACUAUUUAAUUAAUAAAUUUAAUAGUUAUAAAGUGUGAUAUAAUGACCCAUUAUAAUCUUAAAAAAGAAAUAAUGAUCUUUAAAUAAAAGCUACUUUAGGGAUAACAGGAUAAUUUUUUCCUAGAGUUCCAAUCGAAGAAAAAGUUUAUCACCUCGAUGUUGAAUUAAGAUAACCUAAUGAUGCAAC
rnacentral:rRNA from 1 species